AUUGAACGCUGGCGGCAGGCCUAACACAUGCAAGUCGAGCGAGCGGCGGACGGGUGAGUGAUGCUUGGGAAUUGCCCAGUCGAGGGGGAUAACAGUUGGAAACGACUGCUAAUACCGCAUACGACUUGCUUGCCCAGGUGGGGUUAGCUAGUGGGUGGGGUAAUGGCUCACCAAGGCGACGAUCCCUAGCUGGUCUGAGAGGAUGAUCGGCCACACUGGAACUGAGACACGGUCCAGACUCCUACGGGAGGCAGCAGUGGGGAAUAUUGCACAAUGGGGGAAACCCUGAUGGAGCCAUGCCGCGUGUGUGAAGAAGGCUUUCGGGUUGUAAAGCACUUUCAGCGAGGAGGCGGUACUCGCAGAAGAAGCACCGGCUAACUCCGUGCCAGCCGCCGCGGUAAUAC
rnacentral:rRNA from 1 species